rnacentral:rRNA from 1 species
CCUACGGGUGGCAGCAGUGAGGAAUAUUGGUCAAUGGACGAGAGUCUGAACCAGCCAAGUAGCGUGAAGGAUGACUGCCCUAUGGGUUGUAAACUUCUUUUAUAUGGGAAUAAAAUGUUCCACGUGUGGGAUUUUGUAUGUACCAUAUGAAUAAGGAUCGGCUAACUCCGUGCCAGCAGCCGCGGUAAUACGGAGGAUCCGAGCGUUAUCCGGAUUUAUUGGGUUUAAAGGGAGCGGAGGGGGAUUGGUAAGUCAGUUGUGAAAGUUUGCGGCUCAACCGUAAAAGUGCAGUUGAAACUGGCAGUCUUGAGUGCAGUAGAGGUGGGCGGAAUUCGUGGUGUAGCGGUGAAAUGCUUAGAUAUCACGAAGAACUCCGAUUGCGAAGGCAGCUUACUGGACUGCAACUGACACUGAGGCUCGAAAGUGUGGGUAUCAAACAGGAUUAGAUACCCCUGUAGUC